GAUUUCAAUUGAAAAGGUCAUCAACAACAAAGUUGAAUAACUCAUCAAGAUCUAAAACUUUUACUUUUGUUAUUUCUUCAUCUGACGAAAUGUUAGUAAUAUUAUUCACAAAUUUUACAUAUAUGUGUUAUAGUUUAUAAAACCAAAUAAGAGAUAUGUCAAUUUUGUGAACAAUGUUACUAUCACUUUGUCGUAUGAAGAAAUGACCAAAAUAAAAGUUUUAGAUAUUGAUGAGUUAUUCAACUUUGUUGUUGAUGACUUUUUCAGUUGAUAUC
rnacentral:pre_miRNA from 1 species